rnacentral:rRNA from 1 species
AUGUAUUUCCUACACUAUUAAUACAAGAAAUCUCAAUAGAACUCUGCAAUUAAACAUGAUUGGGCUAUAUUAGUACUAGGAUGGGUGACCUCCCAGAAGUCCUAGUGUUAUACAUG